UACGGGAAGGGCAAGCGUUAUCCGGCGUGACUGGGCGUAAAGAGUCCGUAGACGGUAAAGUAAGUUUAUUGUUAAAUUUUAAAACUUAAUUUUAAAUAUGGCAAUAAGUACUGCUUUACUUUGAGUUUAGUAUAGAAAAGUAGAAUUUUAUAUGGUAGGGGUGAAAUCCGUAGAUAUAUAAAGGAAUGCCAAUAGCGAAGGCAACUUUUUGGUAUAA
rnacentral:rRNA from 1 species